AUGCAGACUGCAAGGUGGCGCAGGGCUGGGCUCAGCGGGGUUAGGAACCCCUCAUAAGGUUCUGACUGGGUCCUUUCCAAGGAGCACGAGCACGCCCAGGACCAACGGCCCCCUCCCACCCCCAGAGUCCCUGCUUUCGAUCUCCCCUCUACCAGCUCCUGUCUCCCCCUUCCACCGCCGCUCUGCACUCAGGUACCUCUGGGGCUGGGGAUAUGGCUUAGCAGCACAGCAUCUGCCUGGCAAGCACGAGGUCCUGAAUUCGAUGCUGGUACAAAAAAACAGAAGUGAAGAAAAGAGAAACAAGAAAGAAAGAUUAAACAGAACAAUGAAACCACAUUUUGAAACAGCAUCUAGCCCAGAGCCUGGCAUAGAGAUUGACGCUUGUGGUAUGAACAAAUAAAUCAAUGAGUGAAGAGAAGUAAACGACACAGGAUACCAGAGGAAGAAUGAGGAAGAAUAUAAAAGGGUAUUACUAGCUGUUUCAACAAACCCCAGUAUUUCAAUAGCUUAGCAUUGUUGAAGGACAUUUUUCAUAUAAUAGCUUAAUGCAGGUGUUGCUGGCUUUCCUUCCUAUAGUUACUUGGAGAUGCAGGUUUGGUUUUGUGGCUCUGCCAUCAUCCAGGAUUCUAGUGCUCUGUAUCCAAUAAACAGAAGAGUAACCCUUGGAGAGUG